ensembl:snoRNA SNORA74 Small nucleolar RNA SNORA74
UCCAGCGGUAGUCAGCUGUCUGGGUCAGUAUCAUGCCUGUGACGGUGUUACACUGCUGGGAGAUAAAAGUACUGCCUGUUUUAUCUGUCUGUCACUGUCUCCGUUCUGGAGGCAGCUGACACCAGUUUGGGGCAAUACUGUGCUUCUCUGAGAGUGUGCUGAGCAGUUAACAUUCUACUCAGCACUAGUCUGGGAGCAUACACA